rnacentral:tRNA from 1 species
GCCAAAGUGGCUCAGUCGGUAGAGCAGCGGUUUCGUAAACCGCAGGUCAGGGGUUCGAGUCCCCUCUUUGGCUCCA